rnacentral:rRNA from 1 species
CUUAACCUUCGGGAGGGCGCUUACCACUUUGUGAUUCAUGACUGGGGUGAAGUCGUAACAAGGUAACCGUAGGGGAACCUGCGGUUGGAUCACCUCCUUACCUAAAGA